rnacentral:tRNA from 1 species
GCCUGGGUGGCUCAGUCAGUUGAGCGUCCGACUUCAGUUCAGGUCACGAUCUCACGGUUUGUGGGUUCGAGCCCCACGUCGGGCU